GGAGAGAGAGAGAGAGAGAUAAAAGCAAAAGACGUGGUCUUUCUCAUAUACACAGAUCCCUAUGGAAUGCAGGGUGUGCACCCCAGCAUCGCUUGCUCGUAUUCAUUCCUUUUGUUUAGUUUGAAGAGACCAGUUUUGUUCUCUUUAAAGAGAGAAUUUUCAUGGGUGAUUGCAUAGAGUGAAGAGUUUUUGGGAAGGGAAAAUUUUCUUGCAAUGAGUUCCCGCUGCUAGAAAACAAAAAGCCAAGCUUUCAUAUGGAGGGAGGCAAGAGAUUUCGGGUAUGAUUAGUUUAUUUCCUUGCUAAUGAUUGAAUUGCCUUGUAGCAAGUGAGGAACCUCUGUGAGUA
rnacentral:misc_RNA from 1 species